UACGUAGGGUGCAAGCGUUGUCCGGAAUUAUUGGGCGUAAAGAGCUCGUAGGCGGUUUGUCGCGUCUGCUGUGAAAACUCAGGGCUUAACCCUGAGCCUGCAGUGGGUACGGGCAGACUAGAGUGUGGUAGGGGAGAUCGGAAUUCCUGGUGUAGCGGUGGAAUGCGUAGAGAUGUGGAGGAACACCAGUGGCGAAGGCGGCUCACUGGACCACAACUGACGCUGAGGCGCGAAAGCUAGGGGAGCAAACAGG
rnacentral:rRNA from 1 species